CAGGGAAUCUUGCGCAAUGGGCGAAAGCCUGACGCAGCGACACCGCGUGAGGGAAGAAUGCUUUCGGGUUGUAAACCUCUUUUGUUAGGGAAGAGAAGGGACUGUACCUGACGAAUAAGCCCCGGCUAACUACGUGCCAGCAGCCGCGGUAAUACGUAGGGGGCGAGCGUUGUCCGGAUUUAUUGGGCGUAAAGGGCGAGUAGGCGGCACGUCAAGUCCCAUGUGAAAUCUCCCGGCUUAACCGGGAGGGGUCAUGGGAAACUGGCGGGCUUGAGGACAGCAGAGGAGAGCGGAAUUCCCGGAGUAGUGGUGAAAUGCGUAGAUACCGGGAGGAACACCAGUGGCGAAAGCGGCUCUCUGGGCUGCCCCUGACGCUGAGGCGCGAAAGCAUGGGGAGCAAACCGGAUUAGAUACCCCCGUAGUCC
rnacentral:rRNA from 1 species